rnacentral:rRNA from 1 species
CAAUAGCGUAUAUUUAAGUUGUUGCAGUUAAAAAGCUCGUAGUUGGAUUUCUGCUGAUCGCUGUCGGUCUGCCGUCAGGUGUGUACUGGCAGUGUUUGGCAUCUAUUCGAGAUUGGGUGUCCACUUGAUUGUGUGCACUCGAUGUCGGAGCAAUACUUUGAGAAAAUUAGAGUGUUCCACGCAGGCGCGUGCCUUGAAUACUGCAGCAUGGGAUAUUGGAAGGCCGAUUGAGCUUUCUUGUUGGUUCUCGGUUUGAUCGGAAUGAUUAAUAGGGAUAGUUGGGGGCAUUCGUAUUCAACUGUCAGAGGUGAAAUUCUUGGAUUUGUUGAAGACGGACUACUGCGAAAGCAUCUGCCAUAGAUGUUCUCAUUGA